AUUGAACGCUGGCGGCAUGCCUUACACAUGCAAGUCGAACGGCAGCACGGGAGCAAUCCUGGUGGCGAGUGGCGAACGGGUGAGUAAUACAUCGGAACGUGCCCAGUCGUGGGGGAUAGCCCGGCGAAAGCCGGAUUAAUACCGCAUACGACCUACGGGUGAAAGCGGGGGACCGCAAGGCCCCGCGCGAUUGGAGCGGCCGAUGUCAGAUUAGGUUGUUGGUGGGGUAAAAGCCCACCAAGCCGACGAUCUGUAGCUGGUCUGAGAGGACGACCAGCCACACUGGGACUGAGACACGGCCCAGACUCCUCCGUGAGGCAGAAGUGGGGAAUUUUGGACAAUGGGGGCAACCCUGAUCCAGCCAUGCCGCGUGCGGGAAGAAGGCCUUCGGGUUGUAAACCGCUUUUGUCAGGGAAGAAACGCGCUGAGUUAAUACCUCGGCGUAAUGACGGUACCUGAAGAAUAAGCACCGGCUAACUACGUGCCAGCCGCCGCGGUAA
rnacentral:rRNA from 1 species